CCUACGUGGGGCAGCAGUGGGGAAUAUUGCGCAAUGGGCGAAAGCCUGACGCAGCGACGCCGCGUGAGGGAUGAAGGUCUUCGGAUCGUAAACCUCUGUCAGCAGGGAAGAACGGUCACUGUGCUAAUCAGCAGUGAAUUGACGGUACCUGCAAAGGAAGCACCGGCUAACUCCGUGCCAGCAGCCGCGGUAAUACGGAGGGUGCGAGCGUUAAUCGGAAUUACUGGGCGUAAAGCGCUCGUAGGCGGUAUGUCAAGUCAAGGGUGAAAUCCCCGCGCUCAACGGGGGAACUGCCUUUGAAACUGGCAAACUGGAGUGUGUGAGAGGAUAGUGGAAUUCCAGGUGGAGGAGUGAAAUCCGUAGAUAUCUGGAGGAACAUCAGUGGCGAAGGCGACUAUCUGGCACAUAACUGACGCUGAGGAGCGAAAGCGUGGGUAGCAAACAGGAUUAGAUACCCGAGUAGUC
rnacentral:rRNA from 1 species